CAUUCUUUAUCACUUUUAUACUUUAUUAACUACACACUUAAAACACUAAUCUAUAACUCCUUAAUUCUCGUGCCGAAACCAAACGUGUCAAGAUUCGUAGGAUGGAGGACGUAAUAAAAUAAAUCAUUUUUUUAAUUUUCAAUACACUUAUUUAAUACUCCCUCUGUCCCAAUAAUCUUGUCUCACUUUCCUUUUUGGUUUAUCCCAAUAAUAUUGUCCCAUUUCCUCUUUUGGUAGUAAUUAGAAUAUGUUUAGCAUUCACUUAAUCCAUCUAUAUACCUAUUAACCUACUCUCUCUCUCUCUCCUAAUUAAUCCUCUCACUUGUGAGCUCUCUCUCCUACCCUCUGGACUCUCUCUCUUUGCCAGAAACUGGACGGCCGCCUCCUCAACACCACGGCCGACGCCCCUUGUUCUACCUCCUGCUUCAUCUUCUCCGGCCGAACGGUCGGAGCCAGAGCCACCGCCGCCGCCUGUAGCAGGUAACCCCAUGCGCUGCCUCAACAAGCAACGGACGAGCGUUCGGGACGGGCGAAGUUGAACGCACCUCCAGCUCCGAAAUCGACUCUUUCGAUUGACUUCGGUACCUAUUGGUGAGGAGAAGCCUACCUUCGCGUCGCCUUUCCCUUCUCCCAAGCGCCGCAGCCAACAACAACGAUGCCACUUCUUCUUCACUGAGCCACCUUCCGACGAUGAAUGGGAGAGUGGCUUUUCUGCAGAUCUGAGAAAUUUGAGGUAGAUCUACAGAAAUGUAGUGUUGAAAUUGGGGAGGUGUGAGAUUGCCUUUUCUGUUCUUGUUUUUUUGUAGAAAUUUGUUCUUUCUAUUCUGUUGUUGAAAUUUGUUGAAGAAAUUGUUAGAAUUUGUUGUAGAGGAUAAAGAUUUGUUGAAAUUUGUUGUUCAAAUUUGCAUAAAUCCGUUGUGUUUUUUCUUAUUGCUUUAAUUAGUAUCAUUAAUUUAUUGGA